rnacentral:rRNA from 1 species
UGAGGAAUUUUGCGCAAUGGGGGAAACCCUGACGCAGCAACGCCGCGUGAGUGAAGAAGGCCCUUGGGUCGUAAAGCUCUGUCGACAGGGAAGAAAUUAAUUCAUAUUAAUAGUAUGUUUUAUUGACGGUACCUGUAGAGGAAGCACCGGCUAACUCCGUGCCAGCAGCCGCGGUAAUACGGGGGGUGCAAGCGUUAUUCGGAAUUAUUGGGCGUAAAGGGCGCGUAGGCGGUCUUGUCGGUCAGAUGUGAAAGCCCGGGGCUCAACCCUGGAAGUGCAUUUGAAACAGCAAGACUUGAGUACGGGAGAGGAGAGCGGAAUUCCUGGUGUAGAGGUGAAAUUCGUAGAUAUCAGGAGGAACACCGAUGGCGAAGGCAGCUCUCUGGACCGAUACUGACGCUGAGGCGCGAAGGCGUGGGUAGCGAACA